UGUCACUGUUGGAGCCCUCAGAC
rnacentral:piRNA from 1 species